rnacentral:rRNA from 1 species
GACAAACGCUGGCGGCGUGCUUAACACAUGCAAGUCGAACGAAGAGCGAUGGAAGCUUGCUUCUAUCAAUCUUAGUGGCGAACGGGUGAGUAACGCGUAAUCAACCUGCCCUUCAGAGGGGGACAACAGUUGGGAACGACUGCUAAUACCGCAUACGAUCUAAUCUCGGCAUCGAGGAUAGAUGAAAGGUGGCCUCUACAUGUAAGCUAUCACUGAAGGAGGGGAUUGCGUCUGAUUAGCUAGUUGGAGGGGUAACGGCCCACCAAGGCGAUGAUCAGUAGCCGGUCUGAGAGGAUGAACGGCCACAUUGGGACUGAGACACGGCCCAGACUCCUACGGGAGGCAGCAGUGGGGAAUCUUCCGCAAUGGACGAAAGUCUGACGGAGCAACGCCGCGUGAGUGAUGACGGCCUUCGGGUUGUAAAGCUCUGUUAAUCGGGACGAAAGGCCUUCUUGCGAAUAGUGAGAAGGAUUGACG